GGAAGGACUGCCAUCGGCGCGGUAUCCCGUCUCGAAAACGGGUCGGCCUCACGGCCUUGGGGGUUCGACUCCCUCUCCUUCCG
rnacentral:tRNA from 1 species